GGUUCAGUGUCGUGGCAUCGUGGCUUCUCUUGGAACCAUGACCAGGCAAUUUCUUGCUCUGCCCUGAAGGCCUCAACUGAUGGAUCAGGACUAUCAUCUUUUAGCUCUUGCAUGUGGAGAGGAGGUUAGCUGCCGCACUGUACAUGUAGCCAAGGAUGAAUUGCCAGCGUUUUGUUGAGCUCAGUAGGAGUGAUCCAUCGCGCUGGCAAGUCAUUACUGGCUACGUGUUUGCCUCGUUUCCUCAUGCUGGAGCGAAGAUGUCAUGUCGUGCUGGGUUGGGGGUUUCAGACAAUGUGUGAGCAGAAAGGAGUAGCACAAGAAGUAGUGUCAAGAAUCAAGAAGGAUGUGCGCAUUUUGUUGCGAGGCAUCGAAGAAUGAGGUUCUGUGGAGUGGGUCGCAAGGAAAAGUCGAUAUACUACAACAGAUGACGUCACAUUUUUUAUGCAUCUUCAGGGCCAUACUUUUAUGCAUGGGUCAUCUUCGGAAUCUGAUGUGCCUUUCUAAAUUCAGUAGUGUCAAGAAUCAAGAAGGAUGUGCGCAUUUUGUUGCGAGGCAUCGAAGAAUGAGGUUCUGUGGAGUGGGUCGCAAGGAAAAGUCGAUAUACUACAACAGAUGACGUCACAUUUUUUAUGCAUCUUCAGGGCCAUACUUUUAUGCAUGGGUCAUCUUCGGAAUCUGAUGUGCCUUUCUAAAUUCAGUAGUGUCAAGAAUCAAGAAGGAUGUGCGCAUUUUGUUGCGAGGCAUCGAAGAAUGAGGUUCUGUGGAGUGGGUCGCAAGGAAAAGUCGAUAUACUACAACAGAUGACGUGCAUAUGCGUAUAACUCGGAGACGACCAAAUGGAGAACGGAAAAUUGAAAAAAAUAAAAACAAAUGGAGAACAGUUCUCCGAUAACUCAAUGUUUUGUGCACUCCUCCGUAGAGUAAAAUGGAUUACUUUUCAGUUCUUUGCUUUGUAUCAUGAGCUUUAAGGUUAACAUGGAUGUGCCCUUUUGAUA